rnacentral:rRNA from 1 species
CGUGAAAUUGUUGAAAGGGAAGCGUUUAUGACCAGACGUGGACUUGGUGAAUCAUCUGGGGUUCUCCCCAGCGCACGGGGCAGGUUCAGGCCAGCAUCAGUUUUCCCCGGGGGAUAAAGGCGGCGGGAAUUGGGCGAGAUUCGUGAACAAGGAUAAAAAAAAAGGGAAUAAACUAAGUGGAAAUGAGGUACGCGCAUCUGCAAGGAUGCUGGCGUAAUGGUCAUCAACGACCCGUCUUGAAAAACGG